UACAGGGGGGGCAAGCGUUGUUCGGAAUUACUGGGCGUAAAGGGUUCGUAGGUGGCCACCUAAGUCAGACGUGAAAUCCCUCAGCUUAACUGGGGAACUGCGUCUGAUACUGGGUGGCUUGAGUGCAGGAGAGGAAUGCGGAAUUCCAGGUGUAGCGGUGAAAUGCGUAGAUAUCGAGAGGAACACCUGCGGCGAAGGCGGGUUGCUGGGCUGACACUGACGCUGAUGCGCGAAAGCCAGGGGAGCGAACGGG
rnacentral:rRNA from 1 species